rnacentral:sRNA from 1 species
UGAGAUUGAGCCGAGAUUAAAAUAUCGCUAAUCCUAGGCCCAUGCUCAAAAACUAUAAAUAUAAGUCAAAGGUACACCCCUGGACGGACUAGCAAACAAGAGGUGUAGAGAGCGGGACCGGACGACGAGAAAUGAUAAAUUGUGAAGGUAUUCAGUGACUCAACCUCAUAACCGAAACACCUAACUAAAUGUUUCACAUAAGGAAAAUUGAAUAUGAAUUUUCAUUUUCAUUUACGUAUAGGUUUAGUUUCUUUUCCAUUUUUGGUGGUAGAGGAAUUUGAGUGAAUGUACUGAAUGUAGGCAAUCUGGGAGUGGUGUUGUUGCAGCCAAACUUUGAUUAGGUUUGAGUUUGAGGAAAUUGAUUUGGGGAUUUUUGAUGCAGUCAGUUGGAGUGGGCUAAUAAUUAGUUACAUAACGC